CCCUACGGGGCGCAGCAGUAGGGAAUCUUCCACAAUGGGCGAAAGCCUGAUGGAGCAACGCCGCGUGGGUGAAGAAGGUCUUCGGAUCGUAAAACCCUGUUGUUAGAGAAGAAAGUGCGUGAGAGUAACUGUUCACGUUUCGACGGUAUCUAACCAGAAAGCCACGGCUAACUACGUGCCAGCAGCCGCGGUAAUACGUAGGUGGCAAGCGUUAUCCGGAUUUAUUGGGCGUAAAGGGACCGCAGGCGGACUUUUAAUCCUGAUUUGAAAGCCUUCGGCUUAACCGGAGUCGUGCAUUGGAAACU
rnacentral:rRNA from 1 species